GCCGGGGGCUGGGCCGGCCACGCGCGGGGCACCACGGGAGCGGGAGUCCGCGGCCGGCGGGCCGUCACCUGAGACCGCGCCUGAGGAGCGGAGACCCCGCGUCGCGGCCGGAGAGGGCUGCAGCCAAAGAAGCUAGUGCCAGCCCGGCAGGUGCAGGAGGCAGGGGACCUACUUGGAGGUGGAGUCCCAGGAUGAUGGCCUCGAGGAGGCAGAGGCGGAGGAGGAGUAGAGGAAGGUGGAGCGAAUGGUCCAUCCCGGCGGGAGCUGGCUGGGCGAGUGGCCCCGCAUGUGUGCCUGCAUGGAGGCCAGGCUGGGGCAGCCGGCUCCGCACAGAGAGCAGCGGUAGGGUGCAGCCCCGUGUGUCCGCAGGUGCUUGGUCAUGGCCGAGAAGUCCCGGGAGCGCUGGGGACAGAGGCCACAGGAAAAGGGCUUCUCUCCUAGGGCGGGUGGAGGGGAAGGGCGGUGAAGAUAAGAAGGGGGCGAAGCCCUAGCCGGUUUGGCUCUGGAUAGGGCGUCAGCCUGCGGACUGAAGGGUCCCAGGUUCCAUUCUGGCCAAGGGCACAUGCCUGGGUCGCGGGCUUGAUCCCCAGUAGGGGGCAGCCGAUCAAUGAUUCUCUCUCAUCAGUGAUGUUUCUAUCCCUCUAUCUCUCUCCCUUCCUCUCUGAAAUCAAUAAAAAUAUAUUAAUUAAAAAGAAAAGAAGGCAGCCUAGGGUAGAUCGGGGGCAACUGGACAAGGGAGUUGUGUGGGAGCUAGGCAGCAGAGAGGGACAUAGGGGCAGGCAAGUCAGUGCUUGGCAGGGUGCCCAUACCUGUGUGGACUCGGUAGUGUGUCUCCAUCUGAUGCUUGAGUGAAAACCUCUUUCCACAGACAGAACAAGAAUAGGGCCUGGACCGAGCAGGAGGAGGCCUGAAAGGCUGUUGGCGAGAUGGGCAGCCUGCUUUGCCCACAUGACCCACACAGGUUGCAAGUGUACCUGUGGGGACAAAAAAGAUAGGCUUCCAUUGGGCCCUUCACUCACCUCUGAUCCUGAGGCCAGACCUCUUGCCAGGCUGCACUGAUUGAAGUACUAUGGGAGAAAGGAGUGCCAUAUCUGGGCGGCAAUAGCAGGAGGCUCCACAGGGCAGGCUGGCUCUCCUUCAACCAGGGGGCCUCAGCCCACCAGGGCCUAGAGAGUCAAAGAAGUGUAUCUGAGGCAACAAAAAACUCUGAACUAAUCAGAUCUGCAUUUGAGUCUCAUCUCUGCCAUUUACUAGUUGAGUCACCUUGGGCAAAUCAUCUCUCUGAGCCUCCCUUACUUACCUCAUCCAUGAAAUAGGAGGUGUCAGCGGAGCUCCAGCAGAUGAAAGCGGUUUCUACUAUCUCAGAGGCAAAAAGGACUGAAAUAUCUGGAUUCCAAGGAGAGAGUGAAGGAGAGCCGAAAGCAUGCCCGACUUGAUACUAGGAAGCCUUGACUGCUUUGUGGAAAUGACCUCUGUCAUUUGAGCCAUCACUGAGGACUGGGUGUGUGCGUGACUCAGAUCCUCCCAUCAAACUCUGAAGGGGGUAACCCCAGAAAGGGUCUGUGGUGGUCUUUGAAGAGAAAAACUCCUUUUCUUGGGUUGAUGACAAAUUACAUUUCUCUGAAAUCAGAACUCCGGGGUUUCUUUCACUUCCUGCCCAAAGAGUCAAGGUCCUCGGAGAUUUCCCGUCUUUUCACUUUAGCACUUGUUAAUUUGGGAAAAGGAUGACGUCUGAGAAACUCAAAUUUCUUUUUCAUAUUAUUCCAUGAUCCCUCACUCUAUGACAAAUUUUUAUUGAUUUGAUAAAUCACUUAUAUGAGCCUGGCGUAUCAUAUAUGCCCAAUAACAAAGAUAAACAAGUCAGGCAUUGGAAGGCUUCUCUGGUUUCCCCCCACUCUCCAGGCUUUUCCCUUAGAUUCUGGGUCCUCUCCUAGACUCAAAUAUUAUGUCUCUAAACUCCUGUUUCUCCCUUUGGACCCAGGACCCCAAAAUAUUCAGACCAGCCUUCUACUUUCUCCCUCCAGACUUAAUAUAUCUUCCCUCUACCUCUUGUUCUAGCUUGGGUGCAGGCAGAUGUUAACCCUUCCUACAUCAGACAGGGUGUGCCAUUGGGUGGGGCUGGUAGAGGGGCAAUAAUAGGGUGGGGAGAGGGGAAGAUGAGUCAGAGUGAAAGGGAAAAUGCAAAUGGGUAAGCUGUAUUCAUUUGCUACUCUGAACAUUAAAUGUUUUUCAUUGCUGAGCUUUCUAACUCCUCACACCACCACACCCAGGGACUCAUUAUACAUCAUAUAAAAGACACUAGACCUAGACACAUAAAAGCAUCAAUGCCUGAUAUUUAUACAGAUUGUGUAUACAGAGGAAUACACAAUCCCUGAAGAUACGGAAUAAGUGGGGAAAGCCACGAGGGAGAAACCCUAAGUAUAUAAGGAAAGGUACAGUGGUCUGGAAGAUUAUAUCACCACCCAGCGGUGUGUGGUCCCCCUCACCUCCCAGGCCUAUAUCAUGUGUCUGUGACUCAACAUCCCCACUGGUAUGAUUUGCCCAUUGAUGAUCAAGAGAGUUGGAGACAGCUCAAAAGGCAGUGUCCUCUGAAAGCCGCCAAAUGUAGUUGGCAGGGAGUAGUCAACAGGCUUUUUGGGUCUAAAAGGGAGCAGAAGAGGCAAGGGAUCUCCCCAUUCAGUGAAUAAAAGCCCCCAAGAAUGGGAAACUUAUUUUGCCUCCCACUUGGUGUCUACUCCAUCUAAGGAUAUCCCUUUAAAGACUUCCUUUCCCUUAGAGGUAUCUCUUGAGCUCUCUACACCUCAGCCCUUAGGCUAGUAACACUCUAGGCCAGGGGUUGGGAACCUUUUUUCGGUUGAGGGCCAUUUGGAUAUUUAUAACAUCAUUUGUUGGCCAUACAAAAUUAUCAACUUAAAAUUUAGCCUACUAUAUUUGGUCAAACAUUUAAUUAACCCAGCCCCAAUGCUUUGGCAGGUCCAGAUCAAAUUAUUUCAUGGGUUUUAAAUGGCCUGAGGGGGGUCAGACGUUCCCCACCCCUGCUCUAGGCGCAUCUCUCUCUCUCUCUC